GGACACCACAAAACAAGUGAUCUGUAAAAUUACUUAGCAGCAAACCAUGAGAGGAGAGCCGUACUUAAUUCAGAUUCUGAGUCGUGUGGAUGGUUAGAAUUCGUCUGUAUAUACUGCAUUCAGCCAAACAACACGUUCCAUAAUCACAUUAAUUAAGAAGAGCCACACUUGCGAGCUAUACAGUGCCAUAUUUAAUGACCUGCCUUAUCCAAGAGAUGCCCACCGUUCAAAGACCUGAGAAGAUAACGUCAGGCUUUGACUGUGGUUGCUGGACCUCUUCCUGUUUGGAGAUGGUGGUCUUCUGCUGCUCCAACAUGGUGAGAAGUUCUGUGAUCUUCAGUUGAAGACUCUUCUCUGAGGACGACCUGUCAGUGGUGACCUCUGUCU